AGUCAGUUCGCCCCGCCCCAGGGCUUCCGCGCGCCAAGGGCAGGGGCCUGCUUCUAUCCCAGCGCUGGGUGCUGCUCCACAGGGCCCCAGAGCAGAGCCCGAGGCAUAUUAAUUGUCAUCAGCCGAGUCAGAUGCCCCCAGCAGAAGGUUGAUUUUUCUCUUUUGGUGGUUCGGGUUCUGUGGUUUCCACAUCAGAGUGUUGCUCUUGCAAGACUUCUGAAAGCAGGUUGCACAAGCAUUGUCCCUCGCAGGUACUGGAAGGCACUUCACACUCUUAAAUAUUGGGUCCAGUGCUGUGUCCGGCUUUAGAAAUCUCACAUUGGUGCCUUCUUUGCAUUUUGCCAAGUCUGCAGUGUAAGGGGACAUCUACACUACCCGCCGGAUUGAGCAUCAUCAGCAUGGAAGCAUGCCCUCCGGAAUGGUGGCUGAAGCAUGAAGGGGCAGAAGAAUGUUUAGUAUAUCUGGCACGUAAAUACCUUGAAAUGCCAGCUACAGAAGAGCCAUGGCAGCACCUGUUCUCUCUUUCAGGUAACAUUGUAAAUAAGAAGUGGGCAGCAUUAUGUCCUGUAAAUGUAAACAAACGUGUUUGUCUUAGCUUUUGACUGACCAAGAAGUAGGACUGAGUGGACUUGUAGGCUCUAAAGUUUUACAAUGUUUUGUUUUUGAGUGCAGUUAUGUAACAAAAAAAAUCUACAUUUGUAUGUUGCAUUUCAUGAUAAAGAGAAUAACAGUAUUUGUAUGAGGUGACUUGAAAAAUACAAUUUAUUUAUUUUUACAGUGCAAAAAUUUGUAUUAAAAAUAAUUAUAUAAAGUGA